rnacentral:rRNA from 1 species
AACGAACGCUGGCGGCAGGCCUAACACAUGCAAGUCGAGCGCGCCCUUCGGGGUGAGCGGCGGACGGGUGAGUAACGCGUGGGAACGUGCCCUUUUCUACGGAAUAGCCUCGGGAAACUGAGAGUAAUACCGUAUACGCCCUUUGGGGGAAAGAUUUAUCGGAAAAGGAUCGGCCCGCGUUGGAUUAGGUAGUUGGUGGGGUAAUGGCCUACCAAGACGACGAUCCAUAGCUGGUUUGAGAGGAUGAUCAGCCACACUGGGACUGAGACACGGCCCAGACUCCUACGGGAGGCAGCAGUGGGGAAUCUUAGACAAUGGGGGCAACCCUGAUCUAGCCAUGCCGCGUGAGUGAUGAAGGCCUUAGGGUUGUAAAGCUCUUUCAGCUGGGAAGAUAAUGACGGUACCAGCAGAAGAAGCCCCGGCUAACUCCGUG